GGCCCCGUAGCUCAAUUGGAUAGAGCAGGAUUUUCGGAGAUCCAGGUUUCGGGUUCGAUUCCCGGCGGGGCCACCA
rnacentral:tRNA from 1 species